UUCACUCUGAGUUUUUUGCUGCACGAG
rnacentral:piRNA from 1 species